GCAAGUCGAACGGUUUGAUUUCCUUCGGGAAAUCAGAUAGUGGCGAACGGGUGAGUAACGCGUGGGAACGUGCCCUUAAGUCUGGGAUAGCUCCGGGAAACCGGGGGUAAUACCGGAUAUCUUCAGUGUUCGCACUGAAGAAAGGCAGAAAUGUCGCUUAUGGAUCGGCCCGCGCUCGAUUAGAUAGUUGGUGGGGUAAAAGCCUACCAAGUCUACGAUCGAUAGUUGGUUUGAGAGGAUGAUC
rnacentral:rRNA from 1 species